GUGUCUCUCUCUCCCAGUGGUCGCUGGAUGUUUCUCCUGUUCCUCCGUUUUUUCCCCCCCCCUUUGCAUUUAGUAUCAACAUCACGCUUUUAGAGUAUUUGGCUGCUAUACACGUCCACGUUAUAAGCCACUCUUCGUUGAGCUAUCAAUUGUGGCGAGGUCGCUUCUGAAAAAGAGCCGCAUAGCACAGUGGGGGCCUUACCUGGCAGCAUGAACAAAAAGCCUUUAUAGUUUUAAUUUGUUUUAAUAAUGAGGCUCGCUUCAGAGAAAGAUUUGGGAUGCUGCGCGUCAGAGGCGUCGUUCCAUCGACACCACGCAUCAGGUCCAUCCUCCUCCUCCCGAGUGAGCGUCGUUUUUGUUGUUGUUGUUAUUGGGUGCAAUUGUGAACAACAGCCAUGUGAGACGUGAGUACAUCCUAUCGGCAUAAUCAUUGGUUCACUGCAGCUCAAUGACUCCGUCCGUAAUACAGGUUGUUUUGGGUUAGAUGGCGUAAAUUCUCUGCAUCUUUUGAGGAACGCCAGUGAAGACAACAGCUUCAUCCGCUUAAUUGGGAGUUUCUCCAAUGUUCUUGGUUUGAAGAAAAGUAUCCUCCCCACAGAGAGGUUGGCGAUGGGGCAAUGAAGAGAAAUCCUCGGGAGGACGAGCCAACCGCGGAGCGGCUUCACGAUCUGGCAGGAGGAAGGAGGCGACGGCGACGCGUGGUGGCAUCAACAGCCUUGGCCGCGAUGACCUCUCGACCUUGUCAAAGGGAUCUGAACAAAGAGUUCAGUUCCCCCGGUUGGCCGAGGAGGAGGGACACCCCAGAGGAGCAGAGUUCUCGACUCAGCCAGUGGGCCAAUGUUGGGUCGUUAAAAUGGGUAAUCUUCGUUGUGGCGGUGGCCUGGGUCACGCCAUGAGAACGUGGAACAUCCACCGCUGAACCAGGGCCUCGAGCCGGGCGAUGUGUGAGCCGGAUGAUUGAACAAAUUUGGCCAGAAUUAUUUGUAUCGUCAAUUCUCCCGAGAGCCUUGCACAACGGAAGAGACGCGUUACGAGUGCAGCUUCAGCGGUGCUGCUUGUUGCUGCUCGCUUGGCGUUUUUGGGUCCUUGGGCAAUGUGCUCAGCAACCGUAAUUAAUAGAAUAAUUACUUAGAUUAUUAUACAAAUCCUAAUUAUUGCUUAUGUAUUCAUCCAAGGGAGCCAUACUGUGGACAGUGUCUCUUUGGCAGGAGGGUGCUGCAGCCACUGCUGCAUCGGGUUGUGAUUUGUCAGUUGUUUCCGACAAUUCAUGAUACAUUUCGAUUUAAAGCUUUCGUGACUGCAGGGAUUCAUCUUCUUGGUUAUUUCGGUAAAGUCACGUAGGUAAAGUCACGUAGAACGUGACUUUACCGAAAGAACCAAGAAGAUUAAUUCAUGAUAAGUUUUGUUUAUUAUUCUUAUUAUUAUACCGCGUGGAAGUAAAACGGAGCACCCGGACAAAACGCACGCCUUGCGCGAGGGGGCAACACUCGAUCCCCGUACAGACGGAAUAAACAGAUGGAGAUGAGUGAA